rnacentral:tRNA from 1 species
UCCCUGGUGGCUUAGAGGGUACAGCGUCUGGCUGCAAUGCAGGAGACUCGGGUUCAAUCCCUGGGUCGGGAA